rnacentral:rRNA from 1 species
UCUGUGGUUUGUGACCAUGCGGGGCGCUACCAUGCAGUCGAGCGGAAGGCCCUUCGGGGUACUCGAGCGGCGAACGGGUGAGUAACACGAUGAGCAACCUGCCCCAGGCUUUGGGAUAACCCCGGGAAACCGGGGCUAAUACCGAAUAUGACCUUGCACCGCAUGGUGUUUGGUGGAAAGUUUUUCGGCUUGGGAUGGGUUUCCCGACUAUCAGCUUGUUGGUGGGGUGAUGGCCUACCAAGGCGACGACGGGUAGCCGGCCUGAGAGGGCGACCGGCCACACUGGGGACUGAGACACGGCCCCAGACUCCUACGGGAGGCAGCAGUGGGGGAAUAUUGCACAAUGGGGCGGAAGCCCUGAUGCAGCGACGCCCCCGUGAGGGAUGACGGCCUUCGGGGUUGUAAACCUCUUUCAGCAGGGAACGAAGCGUAAAGUGACGGUACCUGCAGAAUUUUUUUCCUGGCCAACUACGUGCCAGCAGCCCCGGUAAGACGUAGGGGCGCGAGCGUUGUCCUGGAUUUUUUGGGGGCGUAAAGAAGCUCCCCCCCCCCGCUUUGUCGCGUCCACCCGUGAAAAAACCUGGGGGUUCAACCCCCCGGGCCUGGCGGUCAAAAACCGGGCAGGCUAGAAUUUCCGGUAGGGGAGAACC